ensembl:lncRNA novel transcript, antisense to PPP5C
ACAUUCCCAACUAGGCGCAUCUGGGGUCAGCCUUCCUCAGUCCGGGUGGUUUCUUCCGACCGACCGUCAGCACUCGACAAAUAACUGAGCAGCUGCUGGGGCCGGGAACACCGCGGGGACAGGUCAGAGCUGACCCUGAGCGACUCUACUGCCUCUCCCCGCCACGCCCACCUGCCCCCUGCGGGGUAGGACCCCGCAACCACCACUCCAGAGUCCUCUGCAGGGACUGCUGUUGCUACGGGAGAGGAAGCCAGAGGAAGGGGACGCCAUCUGGGGGAUGCUUGGGCCGUGGUGGCUGCAGAAGCAGCAGCAGCAGUGACGGCCACCGCCGCCAACCAGGGGCUUCUCCCUGGCCAGCGCAGCCACCUGGGCUCCGGGCAGCAGCAUUUUCCACGUGGCUCCUCCAAUCCUCACGAGACAGCAGCUCCCUGCAUUGCUAAUGCAGACUCCUGUGCUCAAGCGAUCCACAUGACUCGGCCUCCCCAAGUGCUGGGAUCACAGGCGUGAGCCCCCGUGCCCGGCCAGCCCUGGAUGUUCAUCACCUGCGUCUAUGGGCAUCUCUCCGUCACACUCCCUUUUGGAAGUUACUGUUUCUUUUUGGUCAAUUCAUUGCCUCUAACUUCAGAGCCCUACUCACGUGUAUUUAUCCCCCUUGAUUCCCCAAAACUUAUCGGCUUACCCAGACCUUCCCCCAUUAAAUGCUUUCCCUCCCUCCCA